rnacentral:rRNA from 1 species
GAUCAUGGCUUAGAUUGAACGCUGGCGGCAGGCCUAACACAUGCAAGUCGAACGGUAACAGGAAGAAGCUUGCUUCUUUGCUGACGAGUGGCGGACGGGUGAGUAAUGUCUGGGAAACUGCCUGAUGGAGGGGGAUAACUACUGGAAACGGUAGCUAAUACCGCAUAACGUCGCAAGACCAAAGAGGGGGACCUUCGGGGCCUCUUGCCAUCGGAUGUGCCCAGAUGGGAUUAGCUUGUUGGUGGG